GUAGCUAAUACCGAAUAAGGUCAAUUGAGGUGUUAAUUGAUGAAAGGAAGCCUUUAAAGCUUCGCUUGUAGAUGAGUCUGCGUCUUAUUAGCUAGUUGGUGGGAUAAGAGCCUACCAAGGCUAUGAUAAGUAACCGGCCUGAGAGGGUGAUCGGUCACACUGGAACUGAGAUACGGUCCAGACUCCUACGGGAGGCAGCAGCUAAGAAUCUUCCGCAAUGGGCGAAAGCCUGACGGAGCGACACUGCGUGAACGAAGAAGGUCGAAAGAUUGUAAAGUUCUUUUAUAAGUGAGGAAUAAGCUUUGUAGGAAAUGACAAAGUGAUGACGUUAAUUUAUGAAUAAGCCCCGGCUAAUUACGUGCCAGCAGCCGCGGUAAUACGUAAGGGGCGAGCGUUGUUCGGGAUCAUUGGGCGUAAAGGGUGAGUAGGCGGAUAUGCAAGUCUAUGUGUAAAAUACCACAGCUCAACUGUGGAACUAUGCUGGAAACUGCAUGACUAGAGUCUGAUAGGGGAAGUUAGAAUUCCUGGUGUAAGGGUGGAAUCUGUUGAUAUCAGGAAGAAUACCAGAGGCGAAGGCGAACUUCUAGGUCAAGACUGACGCUGAGUCACGAAAGCGUAGGGAGCAAACAGGAUUAGAUACCCUGGUAGUCUACGCUGUAAACGAUGCACACUUGGUGUUAAUCGAAAGGUUAGUACCGAAGCUAACGUGUUAAGUGUGCCGCCUGGGGAGUAUGUUCGCAAGAAUGAAACUCAAAGGAAUUGACGGGGGCCCGCACAAGCGGUGGAGCAUGUGGUUUAAUUCGAUGAUACGCGAGGAACCUUACCAGGGCUUGACAUAUACAGGAUAUAGUUAGAGAUGACUAUUCCCCGUUUGGGGUCUGUAUACAGGUGCUGCAUGGUUGUCGUCAGCUCGUGCCGUGAGGUGUUGGGUUAAGUCCCGCAACGAGCGCAACCCUUAUUGUCUGUUACCAGCAUGUAAAGAUGGGGACUCAGACGAGACUGCCGGUGAUAAGCCGGAGGAAGGUGAGGAUGACGUCAAAUCAUCAUGGCCCUUAUGUCCUGGGCUACACACGUGCUACAAUGGCCUGUACAAAGCGAUGCGAAACAGUGAUGUGAAGCAAAACGCAGAAAGCAGGUCUCAGUCCAGAUUGAAGUCUGAAACUCGGCUUCAUGAAGUUGGAAUCGCUAGUAA
rnacentral:rRNA from 1 species